GCAGACGCCAGGCCCGGGAGACGGGCCGCUCCCUCCCGCGCUCCUCCCUGCAGCGGAGCUGGGACGCAUCACCCGGCCGAUGCCUGCACGGUGACCUUCUUCAGUAUGAUGAUCAAAUAUGGCUUAAGGCGGCGCCGGCCGCGUGCGUUUCUGUCGCUGUCCUAAUUGCGGUUGUAAAAGGAGAGCAGCUCCGAGCUGGGAGCUUCCCUCCUCCGCGGUGAGAGGCGGACAAAAAUACCCGCAGACUGCCCGGCAAAAGGCAAAACAUCCGCUCCACUUGGGGACGUUCGCUCAGCGGGCGGGAAUCCCACGCACCCGCUUGGAGCUGUGCAGGCACCCCAUCCCCGCCUUCGCUGCACUGCUGGCUGCUGGUGACACGGGCAGAAACGGAACCGGGGCCAGCUGUGACUGUGAGGAGGGACUGGAACACACGCUCAUAGGAUCCACCGUCUCUGCCGACUUGGCUCAGGUAGUGACAGGCGGCCGGACCCCUGGCUGUCACUGGGAGCUAGGUAACUGGAGGCCCAGAGAAGUUUAGUAAAUGCUCAAGGUCACACAGCCCACCGAUGAUGGAGUGAAGUAGGAACCAGACACUAAGAUCCUCAGUGCAGAUUCCGAGCGGCAUUGGAACCGCCCACCAGGAACCGCCCGCCAGGAACCGCCGCCACGCGGAGCCCGCUGUGUCCACAUCACCGCCAGGCGGGCAGCUGGGCUGGCUGUGCCCAGUGUCAGAGGAAGCAGGCCGGGCUCAUGGGGACAAGCAGCCAGACUAAGCUUUGAACAAAGGAAAUUCAUCCUAAAAUGCUAUGGAAGUUUGAAAAUGCAGUUAAGUACAAACACUGCCUCUGCAAUUAUUCCAAGUGUGGAUAUAUUUUUGGGGGGCAUCCUGAUAACUCAUUUUUUACUCCUUUUCAGGUGUAACUGAUUUGAAAUAAUAGGUGAAGCCAAACUAAGCUUUAAACAAAGAACAUUUACCCACUAGACUUUUUAUGGGGUACAUAAGAUAAAGCUUACAGUACUAAUACUGAACAAAACAAUUCUUGAUGUUUGCGAUUCCAUUGCUUCACGUAUCAGCAGUGCCUGGACCAGAACAGUCACCCAUUU